UCUCUCAAUAAUCUCUUAACUAGGAUUAUCCUGAAGAAGGCCGGCCUUACAUAUGGUCAACAUUGUACAGGUGGUACAGAAUCUGAUUCCACCAUCAUACACUUCCAACCCCUAGCUCUGCACAAGGUGAAGUUUGGAGUCAUUCCACUGUGCCCUGCUGAAAAAUACCCCAACGGGGCAUUUUGGGGUACACAACCAUGAGGGAACAGACACACCUUGCAGUUAUGGAGCACAACAAGAUUGUGGGCCAGAAACCAGCAAGGGGCACACAUAGAACACUUGUCAGAGUUCAGCUGGCCGUUCACCACAGACAGAACAAGCCCAUUGCCCUAAGCACUAAGAGUCCCAGUUUCAUCAGCCCACUGUGCCGAACACCAUUGCCAACACCAUUGGCAGUGUACCGAAGCCGGACAAAGGACUAAGGCUGUGUUUACACAGGCAGCUAAAUUCUGUUUUUUUUUCUUUUGACCAAUCAGAUCAGUUCUGAAAAUUAUCUGAUGUGAUUAAAACCAAUUAGUGGAAAAAAGAUCAGAAUGCAGCCAGUGUGGCUCAGCCUAAGACCAUGUAGACCAGGGAUCUCCAACCCUGUUCCUGGAGAGCUACCCUCCUGUAGGUUUACACCAGGGCUCUCCAACCCUGUUCCUGGAG